UCAGACAUGCAAGUCGAACGCGAAAGUUUCCUUCGGGAGACAAGUAGAGUGGCGCACGGGUGAGUAACACGUAGGUAAUCUACCUUUGGAUGGGGAAUAACCCCGAGAAAUCGGGGCUAAUACCGCAUAAUGCAGCGGCACCUAAUGGUGACAGUUGUUAAAGCGGGGGAUCGAAAGACCUCGCGUCUAAAGAGGAGCCUGCGGCGGAUUAGCUAGUUGGUAAGGUAAUGGCUUACCAAGGCAACGAUCCGUAGCCGGCCUGAGAGGGCGGUCGGCCACACUGACACUGACAUACGGGUCAGACUCCUACGGGAGGCAGCAGUCGGGAAUUUUGGGCAAUGGGCGAAAGCCUGACCCAGCAACGCCGCGUGAAGGAUGAAAUCCCUCGGGAUGUAAACUUCGCAAGAACGGGAAGAAUAAGUAGGGGACAACACCCCCUAUGAUGACGGUACCGUUUGUAAGCUCCGGCUAACUCCGUGCCAGCAGCCGCGGUAAUACGGGGGGAGCAAGCGUUGUUCGGAUUUACUGGGCGUAAAGGGCGCGUAGGCGGCCACCGCAAGUCAAUUGUGAAAUCUCCGGGCUUAACUCGGAAAGGUCAACUGAUACUGCGGGGCUAGAGUGCGGAAGGGGCAACUGGAAUUCUCGGUGUAGCGGUGAAAUGCGUAGAUAUCGAGAGGAACACCUGCGGCGAAGGCGGGUUGCUGGGCCGACACUGACGCUGAUGCGCGAAAGCCAGGGGAGCGAACGGGAUUAGAUACCCCGGUAGUCCUGGCCUUAAACGAUGAAUGCUUGGUGUCUGGGGUUAUAAAGUCCCCGGGUGCCGUCGCUAACGCUUUAAGCAUUCCGCCUGGGGAGUACGGUCGCAAGACUGAAACUCAAAGGAAUUGACGGGGACCCGCACAAGCGGUGGAGCAUGUGGUUUAAUUCGACGCA
rnacentral:rRNA from 1 species